UGGGGAAUAUUGCACAAUGGACGGAAGUUUGAUGCAGCGACGCCGCGUGGAGGGUGUAGGCCUUCGGGUUGUGAACUCCUUUUUCUCGCGAAAAAGGCACAGUUUUGGCUGUGUUGAUGGUAGUGGGGGAAGAAGCGCCGGCUAACUACGUGCCAGCAGCCGCGGUAAUACGUAGGGCGCGAGCGUUGUCCGGAUUUAUUGGGCGUAAAGAGCUCGUAGGUGGUUCGUCGCGUCUGUCGUGAAAGCCAGCAGCUUAACUGUUGGUCUGCGGUGGGUACGGGCGGGCUUGAGUGCGGUAGGGGUGACUGGAAUUCCUGGUGUAGCGGUGGAAGGCGCAGAUAUCAGGAGGAACACCGAUGGCGAAGGCAGGUCACUGGGCCGUUACUGACACUGAGGGGCGAAAGCGUGGGGAGCGAACAGG
rnacentral:rRNA from 1 species